rnacentral:rRNA from 1 species
UACGAGGGGGGCGAGCGUUGUUCGGAAUUAUUGGGCGUAAAGGGUGCGUAGGCGGUUCCGCAAGUCCUGUGUGAAAUCUUCGGGCUCAACUCGAAGUCUGCACGGGAAACUGCGGGGCUUGAGUGUGGGAGAGGUGAGUGGAAUUCCUGGUGUAGCAGUGAAAUGCGUAGAUAUCAGGAGGAACACCGGUGGCGAAGGCGGAUCUCUGGGCCGAUUACUGACGCUGAGGAGCGAAAGCGUGGGGAGCGAACAGG